rnacentral:rRNA from 1 species
AACGAACGCUGGCGGCAUGCCUAACACAUGCAAGUCGAACGAGACCUUCGGGUCUAGUGGCGCACGGGUGCGUAACGCGUGGGAACCUGCCCUUAGGUUCGGAAUAACUCCCCGAAAGGGGUGCUAAUACCGGAUAAUGUCUUCGGACCAAAGAUUUAUCGCCUUUGGAUGGGCCCGCGUUGGAUUAGCUAGUUGGUAGGGUAAAAGCCUACCAAGGCGACGAUCCAUAGCUGGUCUGAGAGGAUGAUCAGCCACACUGGGACUGAGACACGGCCCAGACUCCUACGGGAGGCAGCAGUGGGGAAUAUUGGACAGUGGGCGAAAGCCUGAUCCAGCAAUGCCGCGUGAGUGAUGAAGGCCUGAGGGUUGUAAAGCUCUUUUACCCGGGAUGAUAAUGACAGUACCGGGAGAAUAAGCUCCGGCUAACUCCGUG